UCAGGGUUCUAACCCCUUUCCAUAGACUUACACAGUAAUUAUGACAACUUCCGGAGGACGUUCCCGGAGGACAUCCUCCAACCUAUCAGAGCUCUUGCAGCAUGAACUGACAUUUUGUCCACCCAAUCAAAGGAUCAGAGAAUGAAUCUUGUAGUGAAAGCAUAAGAUACAGCUAGCUAGCAAUGCACUGCAUAACAUGUGGUGAGUAGUUGACUCAAAGAGAGAGAAAUACAAUAGUUGAACAGUUUUGAACAAAUUAAUUUCUUCCAAAAUGAAGGAGAAGCAAGAAAUAUAUAAAGUGAGAGAUUUACAUAUUUUUUCACUUGCAGUUUCACUUACUUUGUUAGCAAAUGCAGCUAGCUAGUUUAGCCUACUCAAACACCCUGCUCAAACAGAGGGAUGCUAUGUUAGCUAGCUGGCUAUGACUAUCCAACACAACCCUGGAACUCUUCCAAGUCAAGAGCUGUCUCUCUGGCACAGGAUCCCCCAGGCGUAUCUAUAAACAUCCUGUUAUUCGGAGGCCCAGUCACGUUUGGACUUUCCCCUGUGAUGCUGGUAGGCUCACUAUCAUCACGGGUAGAGGUGCAGCUUGAUGAGAUCCAUGAAGACAAGAUGCAGCAGUGGAGGAGGUGGAGGAAAGACAAUGGGACUAAGAACCAGAGCAGCCUUCUUCUACAUGGACAAACAUAUUGCAGGAGAAGAGGAGGAUGGGGAGAGAAUAGUGGAGAGUGGAGUCUUCUACAUACACAACCCUCUACACAGCAGUGUCUUUUUUCCUGGAUUACUGACCCACUGAAUGUGGCCCUGGCUCAAAUCACAAGACUUACUUCACUUCAGAGAAUGAGUUUGCUGUUUCCUGUCUUUGGAUGGACCCUCAUCUUAUUGGCUACCGAAAAGGGGUGUGGUCGUUGUGGAGCAAAUUAAUGAGAGAGAACAGUGGUAUGCCUCUGAUUCUGUAACUUUUACUAACAGUGUCAAUAGUUGUUGACCAUUGCUUUGCAGUUCCAUUGUCAUGUUCUUUAGCUAACAGUCCUCUUUCUUUUAUAGUAGUGUGUGCGUGUGUGUGUGUGCAUGCUUGCGUUGUUUGUUCGUUUGUGCGUGUGUAUUUGUGUGUCUGUUUGUGAGUGUGUGUGUUUUAGCUAUGUCUGUAUGUAGGGCGUUGGUAGGGGUAUUUUGGGCAGUACUGCUGUGGCCCCCUACUCACACCUGUUACACAGUGAGUUGCUGAUCUAGGUGAUACAGGAGACACAGAUUAAAGCUGUGUGUGUUGUGUGUUGUGUAUGAGUGUGUAUGUGUGCAUCUCCUGGGCUGUGUGUGGUGUGCCUCUAGCAUUUGUUCGUCAUACCGCUCCGUGAGUCAGCAUCUCUGUUUCCUUUCCUGAGUCACUCAUUUAACGGUUGCCCGGUGACCACAGAACGGAAAAAGGUUCCUAUUGCGUGUUCGCCUGCGAGGACGGCCACCAAUAUUUAUUCAGGCCUUGCAGUAAGUGGCCAGGAGAAAAUUAUAAAUAUAAAUUCUCCAAUGAUUG
rnacentral:lncRNA from 1 species